rnacentral:rRNA from 1 species
CCUACGGGUGGCAGCGGUGAGGAAUAUUGGUCAAUGGGCGUAAGCCUGAACCAGCCAAGUCGCGUGAGGGAUGAAGGUUCUAUGUAUCGUAAACCUCUUUUAUAAGGGAAUAAAGGGUGGGACGUGUCCUAUUUUGUAUGUCACUUAUGAAUAAGGAUCGGCGAACUCCGUGCCAGCAGCCGCGGUAAUACGGAGGAUCCGAGCGUUAUCCGGAUUUAUUGGGUUUAAAGGGUGCGUAGGCGGCCUUUUAAGUCAGCGGUGAAAGUCUGUGGCUCAACCAUGGAAUUGCCGUUGAAACUGGGGGGCUUGAGUGUGUUUGAGGCAGGCGGAAUGCGUGGUGUAGCGGUGAAAUGCUUAGAUAUCACGCAGAACCCCGAUUGCGAAGGCAGCCUGCCAAGCCAUGACUGACGCUGAUGCACGAAAGCGUGGGGAUCAAACAGGAUUAGAUACCCCGGUAGUC